GGGAUGGGCUGUGGCUCAGUGGCAGAGCUUCAGCUUUGUAUGCAGAAGGUCUCAGGUUCAAUCCUUGGCCUCUCCA
rnacentral:tRNA from 1 species